rnacentral:ncRNA from 2 species
AUCGUUCAUCUCCCCAGCGCCACUGAGGGGACGGAAGUAAGGGUUUUGCCCUGAAGGAACGCGCC